rnacentral:rRNA from 1 species
ACAUAGGGUGCGAGCGUUAAUCGGAAUUACUGGGCGUAAAGUGUGCGCAGGCGGCCGAGCAAGUCGAGUGUGAAAGCCCCGGGCUUAACUUGGGAAUUGCGCUCGAAACUACUUGGCUGGAGUGUGGCAGAGGAAGGUGGAAUUCCACGUGUAGCGGUGAAAUGCGUAGAGAUGUGGAGGAACACCAAUGGCGAAGGCGGCGACCUGGACGGACACUGACGCUGAGACGCGAAAGCGUGGGGAGCAAACAGGA